rnacentral:rRNA from 1 species
GAUGAACGCUGGCGGCGUGCUUAACACAUGCAAGUCGAACGGGGUGCCUUUGACAGAGGAUUCGUCCAAUGGAUAAGGUUACCUAGUGGCGGACGGGUGAGUAACGCGUGAGUAACCUGCCCUGGAGUGGGGAAUAACAGCUGGAAACAGCUGCUAAUACCGCAUAAUGCAGUUGGGUCGCAUGGCUCUGACUGCCAAAGAUUUAUCGCUCUGGGAUGGACUCGCGUCUGAUUAGCUAGUUGGUGGGGCAACGGCCCACCAAGGCGACGAUCAGUAGCCGGACUGAGAGGUUGGCCGGCCACAUUGGGACUGAGACACGGCCCAG